AACAAGGAACUAAAUAGGAUUCCCUUAGUAAUGGCGAACGAACAGGGAUGAGCUCGGCUUGGAAACUGGGGCCUUGGCUCUGGAUUGUAGCCUCGAGACAUAUUGCCAACGGAGGCGCAGGUGUAAGCCUCUUGGAAAAGAGCAUCAACGUGGGUGAGAAUCCUGUGUUUCAUCUGCAGUCCACCGUGCACGGCACAUGUUCUCAGAGUCGCGUUCCUCGGAAUUGGAGCGUAAAGUGGGUGGUAAAUUUCAUCUAAAGCUAAAUAUAGGCUUGAGACCGAUAGCAAACAAGUACCAUGAGGGAAAGAUGAAAAGGACUUUGAAAAGAGAGUUAAAAGUGCUUGAAAUCGCUGAAAGGGAAGCGAAUGGAACCAGUCCUCUGGCUGAGAUUGUUGCAUGCUCCUGUGAUACCUGGCUGCUUCAGCGCAAGCGUUGCAACUUGGUGUUGAGCGGCUGUGUGUGGUGACUCUCAGCUUGUUAGUCAACCGCUGUUCAUACUUGAGGAAAGCCCCAGGUUCAUGAUUCUUCUCUGUGGAGUCGGUCUUGUGCUUGUGGGGACCCAGGUGUGUACAGUUUCCUGAGUGUCUGGUGCUAACGCCUCGUGAUGCUUCUGUGUGGGUGUUGCUUUUCCAAGCUU
rnacentral:rRNA from 1 species